rnacentral:RNase_P_RNA from 1 species
GAAGCUGACCAGACAGUCGCCGCUUCGUCGUCGUCCUCUUCGGGGGAGACGGGCGGAGGGGAGGAAAGUCCGGGCUCCAUAGGGCAGGGUGCCAGGUAACGCCUGGGGGGGAAACCCACGACCAGUGCAACAGAGAGCAAACCGCCGAUGGCCCGCGCAAGCGGGAUCAGGUAAGGGUGAAAGGGUGCGGUAAGAGCGCACCGCGCGGCUGGUGAACCCGGGUAGGCUGCUUGAGCCAGUGAGCGAUUGCUGGCCUAGAUGAAUGACUGUCCACGACAGAACCCGGCUUAUCGGUCAGUUUCACCU